rnacentral:rRNA from 1 species
UGGGGAAUAUUGCACAAUGGGCGCAAGCCUGAUGCAGCGACGCCGCGUGCGGGAUGGAGGCCUUCGGGUUGUAAACCGCUUUUAUUCAAGGGCAAGGCACGGUCUUCGGCCGUGCUGAGUGGAUUGUUCGAAUAAGCACCGGCUAACUACGUGCCAGCAGCCGCGGUAAUACGUAGGUG